AAUAAAGAAGAAGAGUUUGUUUUAGUAAAUGAUAUUGACAGUGGCAUUGUUAUUCUCGGUUGUGAAGCUAACUUGAAAUCUCUUUGUAUGCGGGGCAGAAGAUGUUUUUGCAUAUAUACAAUACAUGGAUUCAGGAAUGGACAUUUAAUUUAUAUUCCACUUUUAGAUUGCCUUUUGCCUUCUAAAUCAGGAAACUGUAAUAGAAAAAAAUUUCUGUGUUUAAGGAAUGUUUUUCUUUAAAUUGGCGCAAUCGUAUAUUUUAUUUUUGGCGCAAUUGAUACCAUGUAAUUUUUAAACAUGUGGCGCAAACGUAGCAUUAGAGAAAAAAGUUGUGGCGCAAAAGGACGCAUUUUUGGCGCAAACGGAUCUCUCCC
rnacentral:lncRNA from 1 species